UACGUAGGGGGCAAGCGUUGUCCGGAAUCAUUGGGCGUAAAGAGCGUGUAGGCGGCCAGAUAAGUCCGCUGUGAAAACUCGAGGCUCAACUUCGAGCUGUCGGUGGAAACUAUUUGGCUAGAGUCCGGAAGAGGAGAGUGGAAUUCCUGGUGUAGCGGUGAAAUGCGCAGAUAUCAGGAAGAACACCCGUGGCGAAGGCGGCUCUCUGGUACGGAACUGACGCUGAGGAGCGAAAGCGUGGGUAGCAAACAGG
rnacentral:rRNA from 1 species